AAUCAACGCUGGCGGCGUGCCUCAGACAUGCAAGUCGAACGAUUAAACUUUCCUUCGGGGAAGAUAUAGAGUGGCGCACGGGUGAGUAACACGUAAGUAAUCUACCCUUGGGUGGGGAAUAACAUCGGGAAACCGAUGCUAAUACCGCAUAAUGCAGCGGCUUCUUAUGAAGACAGUUGUUGAAGCAUUUAUGUGCCUGAGGAGGAGCUUGCGGCAGAUUAGCUAGUUGGUAAGGUAAUGGCUUACCAAGGCGACGAUCUGUAGCCGACCUGAGAGGGUGGUCGGUCACACUGACACUGAAUAACGGGUCAGACUCCUACGGGAGGCAGCAGUCGGGAAUUUUGGGCAAUGGGCGCAAGCCUGACCCAGCAACGCCGCGUGAAGGAUGAAGUAUUUCGGUAUGUAAACUUCGUAAAAAUAGGAAGAAUAAAUGACGGUACUAUUUGUAAGGUCCGGCUAACUACGUGCCAGCAGCCGCGGU
rnacentral:rRNA from 1 species